AUGCCACAGGGAAAUGGAAUUGAGCAGCAGCUGGUUGAUAGACUGAGUGCAAGGAGAACUCACCAAUGAUUCCUUGUCAUCCUGGAGAGAAAACAAUGAAGAGUCGUGACGGGGGAAGCACAGAAGAAGAGGUCGGCGAAAGGGGGGGCGCCAUGUCAUGGGGCCAAUUCCCAGAGCUGAGUCUGCAAGCUCUGGAAUUGGAGCCAUAACAAAGAGCACUCCUCGACGGCUCAUGAAAACACCUGGCAGCAGAGCAUGGGAACUUGUGGAGUGAAAAUCAAAACAAUUAUAAUGAGUAGUUUGUGUGGAAAUGGUAGAAAUGUGAUACAGGGGGUGGGGUUUGGUGAUGAUAUUUACGUGUGAUGUGACGUAGUAGCAAAGGUAAUAAAAUUGAUUGUAUGUAAACAUUAUGUCAUUCUCGACUUUUCCCAAGUCGUGUAUU
rnacentral:lncRNA from 11 species